rnacentral:lncRNA from 1 species
AACCUAUAAAUACAUGAUGUAAGGCAUAAAAUAAAAGGAGAUUACAUAGAUUAGCCUAGAUUAAACACCCCUUUAGAUUAGAACAUAACCCUAGUUCUUAUUAAUUUUGGAGAUUGAAGCAACUUGGAGACCAUUGAAGAUCAAGAGCAAGAGCAAGAGGGGAGCAUCAGAUUUGCUGACAACAGAUUCUAUUCUCUUCUCUCAUCUUACUUUUAUCUUUUGAUGUCUAUUCAAUUGUGGAUUCUUGGUUUUAAUUCAUUAAUUAUGAACUAACUUUUUUAUUAAGAUUUCAAUUGAACCUUUUAUGGCUAUAAAUUAGUUAUUUAAUUUAUUCCAAUUAUUUGUGUCAAAGUGAGUUGUUUAUCUUGCCUUAUGCUUAUUGAUUAAUUAUCUGAUCAGUAAUUACUUUGUUACUCUAGAAGGAAUUGGAAGAGGAAUUCUAGGGUUAGAACUGGGCAUGAUAUCAUGUGACUUAGUUAUUUGCACAGUGAAUAAUUAGGUUUGUGAAUAGAAUGGAAAUAUCUUUUCGCCGCAUGUAACACAUAAGGAAUUGGGAUUGUAACGAGUUUAAUUCAAUUGUUUUGCAUAGGAAUAUAGCAAAAUUAAUCUGGAUUAAAUAGAAGGCAAUUGAUCACUUGGAAAAGGGCUUUUGGCAUUUGAGAAUUCCUGUUAACAAUUCAGUAGACAUAAUAAUUGGGAUAAUUGGAUAAUUGAUUUAUAGUUCAUAAUUGGGGAUAUUGGAGUCUUAAUCCUUAUUUACCUGAAUUCAAUCAAAUCUUAGUUUUGUUUAUUUGCUUUCUUUUAGACUAAUCUCUUUUAAUUGUUUAAUUUAGUUUUCUUAAUUAGAAAAUUCACAAUUUGUAAUUGUUUAAAUAAAAUUGAUUUGGUUAAGAGUUAGUAUUUGGUAAUUUUUAUUAAAUAAUUCCUCGUGGGAACGAUACUCUACUUUCACUUUAUUACUUGUUGACCGUGUAUACUUGCACGUAUUCAUUGAUUGCGAAAUCGAUCAACAAGUUUUUGGCGCCGUUGCCGGGGAAUUAAUUUAAUAAUUAUUUACCAAUAUUAAUUUCAAUCAAAUUAGUCUUAAUUUAAACAUUUUUAUUUUUAUUUUUAAUUCUCUUUCUAUAUUUCUCUCUUUUCAGGUACCAUGGAUGACUUUGUGUAUCAAUGGCCAUACACGAACAUGACUCAACCAAGGGGAGUGGAGAUUGAAAGACUCGAGAAACUUUCUGCAUUGUCAGCACAGAUUGAGACACUUUCGAGGAUGUUUGAAGCUUUUGAAGCUCAGCGUCGUCAAAGUAUGGUGGUUACUUGUGAUUAUUGUGCUGGAAAUCAUAUGAGUCAUCAAUGCACCAUCAGUUUCGAGCCGGUACAGUAUAGUGGUGAUUACCCCAAUAAUUAUGUCUAUCCCAACAACUAUCAUCAGGAUUGGGGGUAUCACCCGGAUUUUUCAUGGAGUAACAAUCAAGAUCAAUUUUAUGCUCCAAGUCCAACAUACCCACAGGAUUUCUUGUGUCCACCUCCACUACAACAGGAAGAACAUUCAAAUUGGGAGGAAGCCUUGGAAAAAUUUAUUAAAGCUUCUGAAAAAAGGAAUGAGGAACAAGACAAGAAAAUGAAUCAAGUAGAGCUGAAUUUGCAAAGCCAAGGGGCGUUGAUCAAGAAUUUGGAAAAUCAAGUGGAACAGAUAGCACAUGCGUUGAACAACCGUCCUCAAUACACCUGGCCCUAUGACAUGGAUUCCGAGCCCGAUGGUGAGCCCGAGCCAAAUCUACAACUGGAUGAGCCACGAGAUGAAAAAGAGGAGACAAGUGGGGAUAAUGACAACAAGGUCGGUGAAGAACUAAUUGUGAGAACCAAUGAUGAUGAGCCAAUGUUAUUUAUGCCUCAAGUGCCUUCUCCUCCACAGUUCAAGAGUCCGGUUAGAUUUGCAAAACCUUGUCCGAUUGGUAGUCAUGUCGUCGGCAAUACUCUCUGUGAUGUAAAAGCAAGUACACCUUCGAAACCAUGGUGCGAUGAGCUGGAGAAGAUAGAAGAAGAAACUGUUGUGUCUGACAAGCUUCAAUACCAGAAUAUAUUCGCAGACACAAUGGAGAAACCACCUAGAUGCUGGACGUUCUUGAAUGUGAUCUUAUCUAAAGAAAGCAUGCUAGGUGACUUUAAUACAAUGGCUAUCGUAAAUGGGAACCUACCAAAAGCUAUAUUAUUUCCGAUGGAUGGAGGGUUCCUCAACUUUCGUAGGGGAAUUGGAUAGAGAAUUGAAGAAGUCAGGCUGAGACUAUAAAACAAGCGCUUAUUGGGAGGCAACCCAAGUUUAAUUUUUAUUUUUAAUUUUUAUUAAGUUUUAUAUUAGUAGUUUGGAAUUUGCAUUUAUUUCGGAUUUAAUAAAAUUGCUCCUAUCAUGGUUUUACAGGUUAUUAAAGUCAAAUUCAAGUGUGGUGCCCAAUUUGUUCCAUGUGCUUAGCCUAUUCUCCAAACUUAGCGGGCAAGGAGGAAGAUUGCUAUAUUUUCAGGGAAGUCCUCUGCUUUAAUUUUUUCUAUUUCAGUCAUUGAGGACAAUGUCUAGUUUAAGUUUGGGGGCAUUUUAGUGUCGUAUUGCAUAUAGUUAGUUAUUUACAUUGUAGUUCGUUAUGUUUUCGGGUUAUUUACAUUUAGUUGUUGCAUUCGUUUUUUUUUUUUUUUUUUUUUAAAAAAAAAAUUUAAAAAUCGCAAAAAUAGUAGUUAGUUUACUAUGUUUGUUGCAGUUAGUUUAUAUUUGCAUGAUUCCAACUGUUAGAUAGUAAAAGUCUAUUUUGGCCAAUGAUGAGACUGGAGUUAAGUAGAUAAGUAUAGUAUUGAAUAUUCAGGCUUUGAUGUGAUUUCUUGUUAUGAAUUGAAUCUUUUCCUGUUUGAAACUGGUAUAAUCAAGGUUAGCACGUUAAUAACAGCUAUGUUAACUGAUUAAGUUUAAAUUGAUACAUAAUGGAUUUCUUAAGUAUAAUACUAGUGUGAAGGAAUGAAAGACAUGAAUAGGCGGAGAUGGCUAAAUUUUGAUAAAAACUUAAGUUUGGGGGGAAAUUUUGGGGUAUAUAAGCUUUAAAAAAAAAAAAAAAAAAACAUGUUGAGUCUUGUGGUGGGUUGAGGAGAAACACUCCCCAUAAACACAAGCGUGAGAUGGAGCGUAAAACGCACUCACCAACCAUCUAUAAAAAAAAGAGAAAAAGAAAAAAAAAAUUACCGUGGCUAGUUUUGUUUCGGGGCCUUUGUUACUUGAGUAAGUACGCCCGAAGGGGUAUCUUAAAACCUAGCGCCCUAAGGUCUUAUAUGGUCUGGGAGUCGUUGGUCGAAAGCUCGCUAAGGGGUGACACUGUUAGCCUAAUGGAAUGAGACAUUGCACAGUUAUGGUUAAAAAAAAAAAAAAAAAACGGGAAAAGAGCAAAAAGCCCCCGUAAUGAAAAGUAAAGCAUAAGUAUCCCAGAUUGGACUCUUGAACUUGGUGGAUGUUUGACUUUAGUUGGAUAUAGCUUGUUCGUGAAUUUUGUGAAUUUGCACUGUAUGAUGCCUUCAAAGAUAUCUAUUAUGUCUUAAAUUUGAUUUUAUAUCAGUUAACAUUGUUGUGGAGCACACACGCACUAUAUCAGUGAUAACAGUCUAAGAUUUGAUGAUUGAUUGGGAAAUUACUGAUUUGUUUUAAUAUGAUGUAUUAUCAUGUUUACUUGAUUUCUCUAAGGCCGGUUGAAUAGACUUGUUUCUGUCAUUACUGUUGGAUUCGUAGGCAUAUAGAUUAGUUUCAUUACAUUGCAUUGCAUAACAUUUUUGUGUUUUUGCUUGAGGACAAGCAAAGAUUUAAGUUUGGGGGUAUUUGAUGAGUGAGUUUUAUACCCAUGAAUUGGAUACAUUCGGGCUUAAUUUAUUGUUGUUCUUAAGUCUUUUAGGAUGUUUUUAUGUGUUUGUGUCUAUUCAUGCAUGUUUUAUGUUAUUUUAUAGGAAUUGGGACAAAAGUUACAUGGAUCGAUGUUUGGGGUGGCUAGAUUCGCGUUUUCGGCUUGCCAUUUACACAGCAGUCACUUCAGAGCCAAUUUGACUAUAGCUCCUGACAUUAUUUCGAAAAACUCAAAGAAUGAAAGUUGUAGAUCUACUUCUCCUCUUUCCGGAACAUCUUGAAUCAUCAAAAUCGGAGUUCGGACGAAGAAGUUAUGGCCAUUUUCCCAAAGGACGUCGGAGCAGAAAAUGUCAGAUUUUGGGCCAGCGCCGGGGCGCCCAUUUUUGGCCUAUGCCCAGCGCCGGGGCGCUAGGGGGCAGACUCCAGCGCCGUUGCCCAGCGCUGGGGCGCUGGGGGAAGGGUUUGGUGCGGCCUGGACGCGUUUUGGGCGAAUUUUGACACCUUUUUGACUCCAAAUAGGAUUGGGUUUGUUCCUAAGCUAAAAAUUGGACUUGUAACCUAUAAAUACAUGAUGUAAGGCAUAAAAUAAAGGGAGAUUACAUAGCUUAGCCUAGAUUAAACACUCCUUUAGAUUAGAAAAUAACCCUAGUUCUUAUUAGUUUUGGAGAUUGAAGCAACUUGGAGACCAUUGAAGAUCAAGAGCAAGAGCAAGAGGGGAGCAUCAGAUUUGCUGACAACAGAUUCUAUUCUCUUCUCUCAUCUUACUUUUAUCUUUUGAUGUCUAUUCAGUUGUGGAUUCUUGGUUUUAAUUCAUUAAUUAUGAACUAACUAUUUUUGAGAUUUCAAUUGAACUUUUUAUGGCUAUGAAUUAGUUAUUCAUUAUAUUCUAAUUAUUUAUGUUAAAGUGAG